rnacentral:rRNA from 1 species
AGUAGUUUGAUCAUGGCUCAGAACGAACGCUGGCGGCAUGCCUAACACAUGCAAGUCGAACGAGACCUUCGGGUCUAGUGGCGCACGGGUGCGUAACGCGUGGGAAUCUGCCCUUUGCUUCGGAAUAACAGUUAGAAAUGACUGCUAAUACCGGAUGAUGUCUUCGGACCAAAGAUUUAUCGGCAAAGGAUGAGCCCGCGUAGGAUUAGGUAGUUGGUGGGGUAAAGGCCUACCAAGCCGACGAUCCUUAGCUGGUCUGAGAGGAUGAUCAGCCACACUGGGACUGAGACACGGCCCAGACUCCUACGGGAGGCAGCAGUGGGGAAUAUUGGACAAUGGGCGAAAGCCUGAUCCAGCAAUGCCGCGUGAGUGAUGAAGGCCUUCGGGUCGUAAAGCUCUUUACCAGGGAUGAUAAUGACAGUACCUGGAGAAUAAGCUCCGGCUAACUCCGUG